rnacentral:rRNA from 1 species
GAUGAACGCUAGCGGCAGGCCUAAUACAUGCAAGUCGAGGGGUAGAAGAGGCUUGCUUCUUUGAGACCGGCGCACGGGUGCGCAACGCGUAUGCAACCUACCUUCAUCUGGGGGAUAGCCCGGAGAAAUCCGGAUUAAUACCGCAUAAAAUCACAGGCUGGCAUUAUCCAAUGAUCAAAAAUUUAUGGGAUGGAGAUGGGCAUGCGUGUCAUUAGCUAGUUGGCGGGGUAACGGCCCACCAAGGCGACGAUGACUAGGGGAUCUGAGAGGAUGGCCCCCCACACUGGUACUGAGACACGGACCAGACUCCUACGGGAGGCAGCAGUAAGGAAUAUUGGUCAAUGGAGGCAACUCUGAACCAGCCAUGCCGCGUGCAGGAAGACUGCCCUAUGGGUUGUAAACUGCUUUUAUUCGGGAAUAAACCUUAUUACGUGUAAUAAGCUGAAUGUACCGAAGGAAUAAGGAUCGGCUAACUCCGUGCCAGCAGCCGCGGUAACAC